GUUUCUGCUAGUUCGGCUUCUAUGUGGCUCAAAUAAAUCAGAAUAUUAUGUCGCGCAUAGCAGUUCUGAAAUUUAGGACAGCCCUAAGUUAUUAACUUCGGGGCCAAAUUCCGACACCUUCGGGUGCUAAUCUUAGUCCGAGACCUGAACAAAAGUUGUAGAAGACAUUCUGAACUUUAAGAAUGUCAAUUUUGUUUAAAGGUCGGACUGUUUUAAGUAAACGGUUUCAAUAGCCGAAGUUGGUUAGAAACCUAGUUUUGGAUUAAUUAAUUAUAGUUAGAGUGUAAUUAAUUCGAGCUAUUAUCGAAUUUGUGUAGACUUGACGAGGCGACUACCAAUGGAACCCGGAACUUACAGAACGCGACAUCGCUUAGCUAGUAUCAGAGAUUAUAGAUAGCAAGCGUGUGUUUUUCAGGUACCUAGAUUCUGAACUUGGCUAAAAGUCCGUCUUUGACCGGAAGUCCCUUUGGCUAUAUGCAGUCCCGACUUCCAUAAUCGCUGCAGUAGUGUAAUGUCUGACUAGUGUCCUAGCCUAGUACAUUAAUAUGUUUUUACAUUGUUUAUAGUUGCUGUCAGUAUGUAUAUAUUUGUUUGGCCACGAUAGUUAUGCUUUGUACCACGGAGGUAGAUUCCCGUGAUGUAACUUUGACACUAGUAGUAUAUGCCGGGUUAGUACGUACAAGGUACGAAAACGAUAGACCCCAGCAAGUUGUAAUGUUUUACCAGUGUAUAUAAAUGUGUCUUUGUUAAA